CUUCACACCACCCAAUGAAGAACAUUCACAAUUCUUUCUGACUUUAUGGCUGCAAGUUGCACUUUUUACAGCAGCAGAAGCAUCAGCCUCCUUACCAAAUGUGGAUAUUCAAUUGAAACCUGAAAUCAUCCUAGACCAAGAUCCUCCAGCCUCACCUCUCAUUCCAGCCACCCCUAUGGCCACCUGUCCAAGGUCUGCUUCAGCCAAUUCAGCGCAGGAGCAAACUUUCUCCCUGUGUGCCUCUCACUACCUGCCUUGUUUCUCUGCCAACUUCAGGUAUUGAGAGAGCCUUCAUGAAAGAAGAAAAGGAGUGAUGGAAGUCAGGAGAAAAGGAGUAGAGAGAGCGAAGUUGGGAGAACCCUAACAGAGCAAUAAUCACUGGUUUAUGAAAUAGCCGUGGCGUAAGGAAUGACUUCUCACCAUUGAAGCACUAGCAGUCAGUGAAAUUUGGCACCUCCCCAACCCUCCUCCAUAUCAUGAUCCUCCACUCCAUCCUCCCCUGCCCAUUCCCUCUACCUCCUGCCCUUCCCUGCAUUUGAGAGCACAGCUUGCAUACACACCUUUGGGUCAAAGCCUUGGGUCCUUCCAAGAGGAACAAAUGUGAGGGUCUUUUUUUUUUUUUUUUUAAAGAUUUAUUUAUUUGAGGGGAGGAGGGGCAGAGGGAGAAGAGAAUCCCAAGCAUACUGUGCCGAGCAUGGAGCCCCACGUGGGGCUCAUCAGUCCCAUAACCCAUAAGAUCAUGACCUGAGCAGAAACCAAGAGUUGGAUGCUUAACUGACAGCCACCCAAGUGCCUCCCCCAUUUUUUUUUUUUUUUUUUUUUCUGGAUCAAGCAAAGGGGUCAGCAAUUCAUUGCCUACACUUCAAGCCUGGAACAAAGAGUUUCUAGAAGCACUUCAGAAGCUUCCUAAAACUUACACUGCCUUUGAAUCUUUUAUUUGACAGUUGGGCUGCCUAUUUUUCAGCCUUCUUAACAGAGUUAACAUAACCAAAUCCUUCCAAACCCUGCGACCUUCGAGUAUUUUGUACAGGGAAAAAAGAAAGAAAACCUUUAAAGAAUAUGCAAAGUUGGGAAGUCCGAUGGAAAAUAAGUGUCUUCAGAUGUGAUAUGAAUAGUGCAGCUAUGGCAAUGUUUCUAGACGCAUAUAGCAAUAUGUAUCAAAAACCCCCAAAACACACAUACUACUAGAUAGGUCCAGGUAUUGAAAUUCUUGGCCUUAUUAUAAAGGAAUCAUUAUAGAUGUGCUCAAAGGCAAGGGCACUUACCCAAAUGUUGUCCUAAUAGUAAGAAAUCAAACAAAAUGGUAGUAUGAUUGAUUAUAUAGUUUAUCUAUCCAAUGAAAUACCAAAUUAAUUGUGCUAUUAAAAUAUAUGACUAGGAAAGUCAGAAGAAAUAGACACAAAUAUGCUUAGCCAUUGUUAAUGGGGUGGUGUGCUUUUCAUUUCUUUAUACUGUUCUGAAUAAUCCAAAAUUGCUAGAAUGAAUAUGUAGGGUUUUAAGAAUAAGGGGCAUUUGAAAUUUUAUUUUUUUAAGAUUUUAUUUAUUGAGAGACGGGGGUGGUGGUGGUAGGCAGAGGCACAGGCAGAGGGAGAAGCAGUCUCCAUGCAGGGAGCCGGACGUGGAACUCGAUCCCAGGACUCCAGGAUCACACCCUGGGCUGAAGGCAGGCGCUAAACCACUGAGCUACCCAGGGAUCCCCUGGUAUUUGAAAUUUUAAAAAAUGACAUGAAAAUUGCCAUAGUUCUCUGUCCAUUGUUAUAUAGGAAUAAUUUAUUGAAUAUCCACAUGGUGGGCUCAGGGGUUUUCUAAUACUUAGGUGGCGAGUUACAGAAUUAACUGCACUUAUUAGCAAUAACACACCUCAACAGUUCUCAUUUAUUGGCCAUGAAAAUGGGCAAGGCAUUGUGCUAUAUUUAUAUAAGCUAUCUGUUUUAUUUCUUAAAGCAAACCCCUUGGUAGAUAGGACUCUCAUUUUUGCAGAUGAGGAAGAUGAUGCUCCAGGAAGUUAAAUGUGAGAUCUAAGGACUUCAGUCCAAAUAUUCUCCUGGCACAUUUAGCCUCUAAGCUACAUUACUUUCUUCAUGUAGUUUUAAAGCUGAGCAUCAUCUCUUCUCCUGAUCAUUUGGAGCAAGAACAAGAGGGGUACAGAGGAAAGCAGUUUUAGUAGAAUCACAGCCGCAAGGCAAAGGUCUCUGUAUGAUAGACUGAACUUCACUUUGUGAUCCUAUUUGCUCUAUAAUGUCUGAAAAACAUGAUAUAAUUAACUUAUGUGGUGCUUAA